CAGCCGCGGUAAUUCCAGCUCCAAUAGCGUAUAUUAAAGUUGUUGCAGUUAAAAAGCUCGUAGUUGAAUUUCGGGGUCAGUAGGUUGGUCGUGCCACUGGUAUGUACUGGUCUUACUGAUUUCUCCUUCCUGAAGAACUGUAAUGUCAUUAAUUUGGUGUUGCGGGGAAUCUGGACUGUUACUUUGAAAAAAUUAGAGUGUUUAAAGCAGGCUAACGCUUGAAUACAUUAGCAUGGAAUAAUGAAAUAGGACGAUCGAUCCUAUUUUGUUGGUUUCUAGGAUUGACGUAAUGAUUAAUAGGGAUAGUUGGGGGCAUUAGUAUUCAAUUGUCAGAGGUGAAAUUCUUGGAUUUAUUGAAGACUAACUACUGCGAAAGCAUUUUGCCAAGGAUGUUUCAUUAAUCAAGAACGAAAGUUAGGGGAUCGAAGACGAUCAGAUACCGUCGUAGUCUUAACCAUAAACUAUGCCGACUAGGGAUCGGAUGAUGUUAAUUUUAUAAUGACUCAUUCGGCGCCUUACGGGAAAC
rnacentral:rRNA from 1 species